UACGUAGGAGGCGAGCGUUGUCCGGAGUUACUGGGCGUAAAGCGUGCGCAGGCGGUUCGUUGUGUCGGCGGUGAAAGCCCCGGGCUUAACCUGGGAAUGGCCGUCGAAACUGGCGAACUGGAGUGUGGCAGAGGGGGGUGGAAUUCCGCGUGUAGCAGUGAAAUGCGUAGAGAUGCGGAGGAACACCGAUGGCGAAGGCAGCCCCCUGGGCUGACACUGACGCUCAGGCACGAAAGCGUGGGGAGCAAACAGG
rnacentral:rRNA from 1 species